rnacentral:tRNA from 1 species
GGAGAGGUACCGAAGUUCGGCUAUAACGGCACGGUUUCGAAAACCGUCGGCCCCUAAAGGGCGCGUGGGUUCAAAUCCCACCCUCUCCG